UAGCCANGCAUGUCUAGUAUAAAUAGUAUACAGUGAAACUGCGAAUGGCUCAUUAAAUCAGUUAUAAUUUACUUGAUAAUUUUUCUACAAGGAUAACCGUAGUAAUUCUAGAGCUAAUACUUGCUGUUAACCUGACUUUUUGGAAGGGUUGUAUUUAUUAGAUUUGAAACCAUCAGCCCGCAAGGGUUGCUGUGAUGAUUCAUAAUAACUGAUCGGAGCGAGGCUAGGCCUUGCUAAAUCAUUCAAGUUUCUGCCCUAUCACUUUGAUGGUAGUGUAUCUGACUACCAUGAGGAUUACGGGUACGCGGAAUUAGGGUUUGAUUUGCGGAGAGGGAGCCUGAGAAACGGCUACCACUUCUAAGGAAGGCAGCAGGCGCGCAAAUUACCCAAUCCCAAUUCGGGGAGGUAGUGACAAGAAAUAAUAGCCCGGGGUCUACGACUUACGGCGAUUAAAAUGAGAACAAUUUAAAUCACUUAACGAGUAUCAAUUGGAGGGCAAGUCUGGU
rnacentral:rRNA from 1 species